rnacentral:rRNA from 1 species
CCCGGGUCUUGUACACACCGCCCGUCGACACCAUGGGAGCGGGAUGUACCAGAAGUAGGUAGGCUAACCGCAAGGGGCCGCUUACCACGGUGCGUUUCGUGACUGGGGUG